rfam:Hordeum vulgare subsp. vulgare, WGS project CAJW01000000 data, contig: morex_contig_211254
UUUUAGGUUCUCUUUGGAACCACACAAAUUAUGAUAAACUAAUUUU